GACGAACGCUGGCGGCGUGCUUAACACAUGCAAGUCGAACGGAAAGGCCCUGCUUUUGUGGGGUUCUCGAUUGGCGAACGGGUGAGUAACACGUGAGUAACCUGCCCUUGACUUUGGGAUAACUUCAGGAAACUGGGGCUAAUACCGGAUAGGAGCUCCUGCUGCAUGGUGGGGGUUGGAAAGUUUCGGCGGUUGGGGAUGGACUCGCGGCUUAUCAGCUUGUUGGUGGGGUAGUGGCUUACCAAGCCUUUGACGGGUAGGCGGCCUGAGAGGGUGACCGGGCACCUGGGGACUGAGAUACGGACCAGACUCCUACGGGAGGCAGCAGUGGGGAAUAUUGCAGAAUGGGCGGAAGCCUGAUGCAGAAACGCCGCGUGCGGGAUGACGGCCUUCGGGUUGUAAACCGCUUUCGACUGUGACGAAGCGUGAGUGACGGUAAUGGGUAAAGAAGCACCGGCUAACUACGUG
rnacentral:rRNA from 1 species